ensembl:lncRNA
UAUAUAUUAACUUUUUUUAGAUUGUUUAUUAUGAUUAUUGUUAAUUCACAAGUGAAAAAGUUAAAAUUUCCUGUUGCCAUAAGACUCUUCGUGUUAAUAUCUAGAUUGACUUAUCAUUACAUUUACAUUAUAUCAUUACAACUUAUGUUCACAUAAUUGGGUGAAAUAAUAUAAUUAUAAAAUGCAAAAAUAAUCAUUAAACAUAAAAAAGGAAACUAGCCCAUUUUUUAGAGAUUAAUUUAUGUAUCAUGGUUGAAUAUUGCUUAUUGCUAGAGCAAGACAAACUUUUGUAGAAAUUAUCAGCAAAAAGAAGAGAAGCUAUUGGGUCACUAAAUGUGCAGAAAAGUUGAAGCAAGCAGGAGAGUUGUACCCAAAUUAGAAAAUGAAUAUGGAUUUAUAAAACACAAUAAUCUUUAGGCGAAAGCUAAAGGAAAUUGUUCUCCUAUGAGCUUGAGCAAAUGUUUAAGAGAAUACCCCAUAACUUACUUUCAUUUGAAACUAUAAUCUUAAUCUUUUGUCUCCUCCUACUUGAAAUCAACACAAAAUAUGCAGUUGAGACACAGACAUCAAUAUUUCAAGUUGACCGCUUAUUUGGUGCCCUAGAAGAUUUUCCUCUGGGAGGCAGUGAACCGUAGUGAGAGGCAUCAUGCAUAAGAGGUAGGCCUCCCUUUCGAUAUGUGCUGUGGGGGCCUUUGCAAAAGGGGAGAUAGGGAAGGAGAGCUAGCAUGACGCUCACAAUGUGUCUUCGGGGGAUCAGUUUUAGGAAGGAGCAUGUAUGGAAACUAGGAUCUGGAAUUGAUUCUCAUAAAAUUACCCCUGGCCGUGUACCCCUUGAUGGGACUUUGGGUGCCCCUAACGUGGGCUGUUCUGGGGCACCCUCUGUCCAUCAUCAGCCCCUUGACUGACUGUGCCUAUCCUGAUAUCCACUGCCUUCAAACCCAAGAUCUAAAGCCCUCCAUUUCAAUGGGCCAGUGAGUGCUAUCUUCCUCCACGUUCAGUGGCUCAUUUCUUCUUCUCUUCUCCUUCAGUCUUCCAGGCACAGCUCUCAUUCCCAAGGACCUCAGGGCUUGAUUUCUGAUUGUCACACAGUAAGAUGUGCAUGCUGAUGAGCUGAGACCAUCCAGAUUUGCAAUCUGAAGGUAGACAGUUGCUACCGGCCUUGCUCUGGGUGAUGAAGUAGGUGAGGACACUUCAAUCCUCUUAGUUCCUGCUUUCUUUCCCACCUCCUGGAACCCCUUUAGUAUCUCAGGGUUUCUAGACACAAGGAGCUGUAAAUGCCUAAGGUGCCAACCAGAAAUGCCUCCCGAAUGUAACCUCAGUUUGCUGGGCGGCAUUAACCUUGGGCCCCCAGCUCAGAAGACUCUCCAAAGCCCAGUUUCUGGAGGGAGAGACAGAGGAAGGUGGAUGGGCUUUCCCAAAUGUGGUCAUGAUAUAGUGUGGAACUGGAGGGUGCUAGGUGCCUCAGUGGGUGAGCAGCUCCGAUAUUUGGACCGUGGAACCCUGCUGGUGUUCAGCCCCACCACCCACGUCUCCUCUCCCGCUUGCUCCUGCCACUUUGGGAUUGCCAGAGGGCAGCAGAAUGGGAUUUGGGAGGGGGAGGAAGGAGGUGGUAACUGCUCAAUCUUAAACUGUACUUCUCACAAGAAGGCAAGAAGGAAAGGGACUGGACUUAAGCCACAUCUCUAAGCAAAGCAAGAUUCCCUUGGCAUCCUCUCACUUCUUUCCCAAAUUCCUCCCAUCACACGUCUCUUGCUGCUCCUCCCCUUGCCCCACCCCAGCUCCCAUGCAGGUAUUUUUAGGCUGAGGGGCCUCCCUUGCUGGCAACCCCAGAAGAGGAACACCCAAGCAUCUGGAUCCCUUGACUCAGAAAUCCCUGGGGUUCUUCCUUCUUCAAGCCUCAGCCUGACAACUCAAGAAGUGUCAAGAACUUUCUGGAAGUGGAGCCAGCUGACCCAUUGGAUCUGGAUGAGUGAUCUGUUGAAUAAUUUUGUAGCUAUGAAAGUAUUAAUUCAUUUAUAACUUUAUCAAGUUGUAGUUUAUAGCCUGCUUAAUAAGACCAUUAGCCAUAUUACAGCGUGUUGUGCUUAACAAAAUGUUUAAUGACUUUGGUGGAGUAACAAGGCAUUCCUAUGUAUUGAAUAUGAUGUCAGUAUUAUUAUCCUCAUUUCACACGAGAGGUAAGUCAUUUGCCCAAAUUCAUACAGUCAAUAUCUGAUAGAGAAGUGUGAAUUUGAGUGUUUCUUUUAUGUGAUUCCAAGACCACACUUGUCCGUGGCUCCACACUGCCUCUCAGCCUCCUGGUCUGGCAUUAAGGUCCUCAACAAUUUGACCCUCUCCCACCUUUCACACCUGCUUUUCCUUACACCCCUUCCUGUGUCUAUACCCAGGGUAAGAGCCACAAUACAUAAGAGUCAACCCGGCAGGCCCCACCUAAAAAUGGGCAUUGUUGCAAAGGCCCAAAUUUCAGCCCUGCAUGUGCCCCGUGCAAAUUCCACCUCCCACCCAGGAUGCCGGCCAUCGGACCUGGGUUCAUACUGUCCUCUCGACCUUGACAUUCAUGCCUACCCAACUCCUUGGGCACUUUAUCAGCCCCUCCUUUAAACUCUUAUUGCUUCCCCCUAUGGCAGGACCAGGUUCUCCUUCAUGAAACUCUCUCUCUUAGAGCUCUGUUUCAUAUAAAAGUAGGAUAGAAAAGCAGAUAAUUUAGCUGAUACUUAGUAAAGGUUAAAAAAGGCAAAAUCUUGGGGCCAGCCCCAGUGGCCUAGUGGUUAAGUUCUCAUGCUCCAUUUGGCGGCCUGGGUUUGGUUCCUAGGCAUGCAUCUACACCACUGUUGGCGGCCAUGAUGUGCUGGCAGCUCACAUACUAAAAAAAUAAAGGAAGAUUGGCAUGGAUGUUAGCUCAGGGCAAAUCUUCCUCAGAAAAAAAAAGGCAGAAUCUU